GACCUUUCCAUUUAUUCAUUUAUUAGACUAACCAAUCAUUCAAAUCUUGAUACACUGUUUGUAACUGGCCUACGUCAUGAUAAUAUGCACGUCAUGACAAUACAUCCACGUCCUCAGAAAAGAUAUCUGUUUUUCUCAACUAAGUCAAAUGGAAUGACAUUUUAUAGUUACACUAAAACUAGUUACGUCUGCAAUAGACUAGGUUAGCAACCUUCUUUCUGCCUACGAGCGUCUGUGACACAAGCUAUACGUAAGCAAGUGUUGUUUAGA